rnacentral:rRNA from 1 species
AGCAGCCGCGGUAAUUCCAGCUCCAAUAGCGUAUAUUAAAGUUGUUGCAGUUAAAAAGCUCGUAGUUGAAUUUCGGGAUCAAUUUGUCGGUCGUGCCUCGGUACGUACUGGUAUUAUUGGUUCCUACCUUCUGAUGAACCAUGAUGUCAUUAAUUUGGUGUUAUGGGGAAUCAGGACUGUUACUUUGAAAAAUUAGAGUGUUUAAAGCAGGCUCACGCUUGAAUACAUUAGCAUGGAAUAAUGAAAUAGGACGUUUGAUUCUAUUUUGUUGGUUUCUAGGAUCGACGUAAUGAUUAAUAGGGAUAGUUGGGGGCAUUAGUAUUCAAUUGUCAGAGGUGAAAUUCUUGGAUUUAUUGAAGACUAACUACUGCGAAAGCAUUUGCCAAGGAUGUUUUCAUUAAUCAAGAACGAAAGUUAGGGGAUCGAAGACGAUCAGAUACCGUCGUAGUC